AGAGUUGAUCCCUGGCACAGAGCGAACGCUGGCGGCUUGCUUAACACAUGCAAGUCGCACGGUUUGGAGCUUCGGCUCCAGGCAGUAGCGGACGGGUGAGUAAUGCGCAGGUAUCUAUCCUUGGGUGGGGACACCCCGCGGGAAACUGCGGCUAAUACCGCAUGACGACUAUGGUCCAAAGGCCGAAAGGUCGCCUGAGGAGGAGCCUGCGUCCGAUUAGCUAGUUGGUGGGGUAAGAGCUUACCAAGGCGAUGAUCGGUAGCUGGUCUGAGAGGAUGAUCAGCCACACUGGGACUGAGACACGGCCCAGACUCCUACGGGAGGCAGCAGUGGGGAAUAUUGGACAAUGGGCGCAAGCCUGAUCCAGCGAUGCCGCGUGUGUGAAGAAGGUCUUCGGAUUGUAAAGCACUUUCGGCGGGGACGAUGAUGACGGUACCCGCAGAAGAAGCCCCGGCUAACUUCGUGCCAGCAGCCGCGGUAAUACGAAGGGGGCUAGCGUUGCUCGGAAUGACUGGGCGUAAAGGGCGCGUA
rnacentral:rRNA from 1 species